AGAACGAACGCUGGCGGCAUGCCUAAUACAUGCAAGUCGAACGAACACUUCGGUGUUAGUGGCGCACGGGUGCGUAACGCGUGGGAAUCUGCCCUUGGGUUCGGAAUAACAGUUGGAAACGACUGCUAAUACCGGAUGAUAUCGAAAGAUCAAAGAUUUAUCGCCCAGGGAUGAGCCCGCGUAGGAUUAGCUAGUUGGUGAGGUAAAGGCUCACCAAGGCGACGAUCCUUAGCUGGUCUGAGAGGAUGAUCAGCCACACUGGGACUGAGACACGGCCCAGACUCCGUACGGGAGGCAGCAGUAGGGAAUAUUGGACAAUGGGCGCAAGCCUGAUCCAGCAAUGCCGCGUGAGUGAUGAAGGCCUUAGGGUUGUAAAGCUCUUUUACCCGAGAUGAUAAUGACAGUAGUCGGAAGAACGUAACG
rnacentral:rRNA from 1 species